rnacentral:misc_RNA from 1 species
UAGGCUUGACAUGCUAGUUAAAGCGGGUGAAAGCCCGUGUCCGUAAGGGGCUAGCACAGGUGCUGCAUGGCUGUCGUCAGCUCGUGCCGUGAGGUGUUGGCUUAAGUGCCGCAACGAGCGCAACCCCUGCUUUUAGUUGCCAGCGGGUAAUGCCGGGGACUCUAAAAGGACUGCCGGGGACAACUCGGAGGAAGGUGGGGAUGACGUUACGGUCUUACU